rnacentral:rRNA from 1 species
GGAAAGGCGAAAAGAACCCCGGCGAGGGGAGUGAAAAAGAACCUGAAACCGUGUACGUACAAGCAGUGGGAGCCCCACCACCAAAGCAUUCUCUGGUGUUGAAGGCCCUGCAAAGCAGCAUCGCGGUGGCGGAGCGUCGUUUGCGACGCCCAACACACAAAACAAGCGGUGAGUGCUUUGGGGUGGGGUGACUGCGUACCUUUUGUAUAAUGGGUCAGCGACUUAUAUUCUGUAGCAAGGUUAACCGAAUAGGGGAGCCGGAGGGAAACCGAGUCUUAACCGGGCGUUAAGUUGCAGGGUAUAGACCCGAAACCCGGUGAUCUAGCCAUGGGCAGGUUGAAGGUUGGGUAACACUAACUGGAGGACCGAACCGACUAAUGUUGAAAAAUUAGCGGAUGACCUGUGGCUGGGGGUGAAAGGCCAAUCAAACCGGGAGAUAGCUGGUUCUCCCCGAAAGCUAUUUAGGUAGCGCCUCGUGAAUUCAUCUCCGGGGGUAGAGCACUGUUUCGGCUAGGGGGCCAUCCCGGCUUACCAACCCGAUGCAAACUGCGAAUACCGGAGAAUGUUAUCACGGGAGACACACGGCGGGUGCUAACGUCCGUCGUGAAGAGGGAAACAACCCAGACCGCCAGCUAAGGUCCCAAAGUCAUGGUUAAGUGGGAAACGAUGUGGGAAGGCCCAGACAGCCAGGAUGUUGGCUUAGAAGCAGCCAUCAUUUAAAGAAAGCGUAAUAGCUCACUGGUCGAGUCGGCCUGCGCGGAAGAUGUAACGGGGCUAAACCAUG